AAGAGAAACACCGCUUCACUACUAAAGUGUUGUACGCUGAUGCUUCUCAGACUCUACGCGCCGCCGCGGGCUUUGAAUUCACCCACGCAUGCGAAGUAAAUUUAUUUGAUGAACUAUCUUAUUGUGUGAAGAUAAGACACCGACAAACAGUAAAGAUAAAUUUCCUUUUGUUUUAUUGAAACUGCAAAUUACAUAUGAUAAUUCAGUCGCUGAUGAAGAUUGGCUGAAAACCCCGAAUUGGAAGGGAUAAACAAAAACUCAUGAGUGGUGGGGAAUCAGCCGGGAGCGUUGAACAAAGGUCGUUUGCGUGAUGAGAAGAGCCGGCGAGUUAGACGGUACCAGAUACUCACCAGAUCAACAUCAACAAGUAUUAGUCGUACAUCAAAUACCGUAAUCCAGAUCACAUCUUGUGGAAGUUUAAUAAUACAAACUAUUACAGGCAGAGUGGCGGCGUUAUUUGUGAUAUCAUGGCAGCGGCUACCAGCGUUGUCGUUCUCGAUCGAGGCAACAAUACCACCUGCACGAUUAAUUUACACGGAGCCACAGUAGUUUCUUGGAGGGUUAACAAUCAAGAACAGCUGUUUGUUAGAUGAAAUAAGUGAGUUAGGAAUUUUAUCGGCAACCUGCUGGAUACAGAGAGAAAGAGUGAAGAAAAAAGAAGGGGUAAAAAAAGACGAAAAAAGUAUCCAGGAAAAGCUUACACACUCCAGGACGAGUGUAGAAGGGUAGCGCGAGAACUACCUCAGAAGAAAAAACUAACGGGAGAAACGAGAAACGGCAUCAACUCAACAUCAGCAUCGAGAGUGGUGGUAAGGAUGUGAUGUGUGUUCACUAACGGCUGCCUUUCAUCUGUAUAGACAUUACACAUAUCUCGGCAAGUAAAACGAAUGGUAUAAGUAGACACUACACGUUGGCAUUUUAUUCCCAUACUUAUUUUUAUAUAUAUAUUUAUACCGAUACCAAAACUAAUAUAUAUGUAUACGUAUAUUAUAAACACACAUGGGGCAUCAUCAUCCGUAUCCAUCGCUCCCCCUGUUGCUACUCUUCAAACAAUGCGACGAUCAGAAAUGCAGAAAUUUUUUGUUAUUACCAUUACAAUUCAACAGUAGAUGUAUAUAUUAUAUAAAAAGAGUGAGGACUGUUGCAAAUAACAAUAAUAAUUUAUUCACAAACUCUUUUUCAAGUCAAAUUUUAAACGAAUUUGAAGUAUUAUAUACGGAUUUACUAUGUAUGGUUAUUUGUAAAUCAUUAUGGAUAUAUAUAGUAUUGUUAUUAUUAUUUUUAAGAGACCUUAAAAGACGGACUAAAACCAGCGAUUUAUCUUGAACGGGAAAAAAUAAAUGGAAAGGAAUGAAAAAGUAUUAUGUAUAAGGGGAAUGGCAUGUAAAAGCAGAAGAAGACGAAUAAGAGGAUGAUGAAAGUGGUGAAAGAGUUUCUGUAGCUUCUGAAGAAAGGUCUUAUGUGCUGACGAUUGAUUGGAUAAUUCAAAAGUUUAAUCGUGAAUUUAUAAGGAUAAAUGAAAGGAAUAAUGAAAGUUUUAACACUUGAGAAAAAUUUUUCAUUGGAUUGGAAGAAGCAACUCAAUUCAAGUGAUGAACGGGAAUUAACGUGACUCAGUAUGUAGCAUUCGAUAAAAUGGGUAGAACAGAAUUGGAGAAGAGGACGAAGAAGAAGAAGAAGUUGAUGAAUUUGGUGGUUUGGUUCACUAGUGAGCAGGCCAUCAGAGAGUUAGAAGAGGAUGUUGGAUGUGUGUACAUGUAUCUACGAAUACAUUCUGAAAUCCGUGAAGGGAGGAGGGAGGGACAAGGGGGUGGCACUGAAGUAGAGAGCAAAGAAACAAGAAAGCAAGAGAAACAGAGUGAGUGAGAUCGAGCACUAAUGAUGCAGCAGCAGCAGCGCCUGGCGUCGUCGUCGUCGUCGUCCCUGGUUUUUGUCGUCGUUAUUCUCUUUCUCACUUACUCUCCCUCUGUAUCUGGUUGUUCUUCUCGUCACUUCAGCUUACUUGUCGGACCGUAGAAUUUGCACAGACGAUUUUCCAGAUGAAUUUCCAACUUUAAAUUGUUACGACAGCCACGACACAACAAAAUUAACAAAUCAACUUAAUUUUUUGCUAACUUUACUUGAAAUCAUUAAUGGUGUUCUAGCUUUUGCCACUUUAAUUCAUUGGUACUUGGCGUAAAUAUGAACAUUCAAUUGAACUGGAUUGUUUUAUAAUUCAUUAUUUGUAAUUCCAAUUAUAAUUUUGUUUUAUGGAAUUAGUUUGAAGGAAUGGAAUAUAUAUUAUCCUUGGAGAGGUGCGUUGGCCGGGUACGAGAGAGAAGAAAUAUAUAUAUAUAUAUAUAUAUAUAUAUGUGUAUAAAAAAAAAGGGGGAACUUCUGGUGAGUUCUGCAGUUGAAAGGGAAUGUUGUAGAAUGCCGGCAAAAAGCGUUCAGCCACUGAGAUCAUUAGUCUACGGUCUUGAGCUUAUAACCAACAACGUUCUACUAUACGAUGUGGUGGUAUACCGGGUGAUGAGACACCAUCCAAUGUUGGUGAUGUCUCUUGUAUUGGUAUCCCGGCUUUUAGAAGCUCAAAUGCUGCAUCAAUCGUUCCAACAUUAUUUUUACCGUAUCGAUAAAUUGGAAAUCUCAGAAGAUUUUUAAAAUUGAGAAACACGUGGAAUACAUGUGGACCCAUUAACUACCAGCUUGUACCACAUGUUUCAUUUAUUAUGGGGCUAUAAAUAUAUCCCCAUAAUACGUAGAUAUAUUUAUAGUUAAAAGAGUGGUUUGUAAGUUGAUAUUAACAUCAAUUUAAGUAUUUAGAUCUUAAAAUUGAAGCUUAUCAUUAUCAGCAAAGAUAAUGUGAUGAUUCAUGGUUUGAGCAAAAAGUGCUCGGGUGUUAUCGCGCUCAUUUGGUCAAUCUCUCACGAUCAAGCUUGAGUGUGUAUCUUGAGAUGUUGUCGUACGAUGGUAUGGCUAAGAGUACAGCCUAGCGGAUGGAUGAUGUUCUCUUUGUGUGUUGAGAGGAAAAUAAAUGCGUUGACCCCGUAUGGUAUAGUACUAUGUGAGAAAUGCCAGCGAGUAGUAAUAUAUUUAAAAAAAAGAAAGAAGAUAUUCUGUUGAAUGAUAUGAAAGGAAAAGAAAAAGAAAGAGAAAGCGAAAGCAAAACCGAAAGAUAAAGAAGGAUGAUGAAGAUUGGAUGAGGAAUUGUCCAGAUGAAGGCAGUAGUAUUAUGUUAGACAGUCAGAGAAAUACUUGGUUGUACUUGACUGCGAUAACAGCUAAUGAGGUGAUUACAAGUGCCUGAUGCUGUUACUGCAACCUCUGGCUUAGUUGUGGUACUCUCUUUAGCGCACCAAAGUCGCUAAAGUGGAUUUAUAAGAGUGGGCUGAGAAUCUGUCGGAUUCCUUAGCAGUGAUGUGAUGCUUUUGAUUCAAGUCUUUUACGGAUUUUCAUAGAUCCAUUAAAUUAUAUUAUCAGUACAAUUGCCACUUAUCAUGUAAUUUAUAAAUUAAGUGUAAUCCGUUCUGGCAAAUGAAGAGUAUAAGAGUGGACGAGCUGGAAGAGUCAGUCUGUCGACGAGCUACAAAAGAUAUAUAAAUAGAGGGUACACGUCGAGGCAUUGUUUCUUGCUAACUUUGGUUAAACAAAGUUUCGCGGCGACUUCGGCGGCAGGGUGAAAAGCAAAGGGAAUCAGCGUGAGGGCGUAUCGUCCGCGGGGACAAGAGAUGAUGAAGGGAAAAAGGGAUGAUAGUAUAUGUAUACAUCUACGUAUAAAUUUAUAUGUAUUGGAGUAUGAGCAAGAAGAGGGAGAAAAUUCAAGCCCGGUAAAGCAGCAGCCAGCCCGGCUAAUCGCAAAAACCGCUGGCUUUGCUCUACACUCGCGCUUCAAACAGGCUACUCGCAAGUA